UAAAAGUAGCAAUACUUUUGGUGGCGACCGGCGCACGGGUGAGUAACGCGUAUGCAACCUACCUAUCAGAGGGGAAUAACCCGGCGAAAGUCGGACUAAUACCGCAUAAAACAGGGACACCGCAUGGUGAUAUUUGUUAAAGAAAUUCGCUGAUAGAUGGGCAUGCGUUCCAUUAGGUAGUUGGUGAGGUAACGGCUCACCAAGCCGACGAUGGAUAGGGGAACUGAGAGGUUGGUCCCCCACACUGGUACUGAGACACGGACCAGACUCCUACGGGAGGCAGCAGUGAGGAAUAUUGGUCAAUGGGCGAGAGCCUGAACCAGCCAAGUCGCGUGAAGGAAGAAGGAUCUAUGGUUCGUAGACUUCUUUUGCAGGGGAAUAAAGUGCAGGACGUGUCCUGUUUUGUAUGUACCCUGAGAAUAAGGAUCGGCUAACUCCGUGCCAGCAGCCGCGGUAAUACGGAGGAUCCGAGCGUUAUCCGGAUUUAUUGGGUUUAAAGGGUGCGUAGGUGGUUUGAUAAGUCAGCGGUGAAAGUUUGCAGCUUAACUGUAAAAAUGCCGUUGAAACUGUCGGACUUGAGUGUAAAUGAGGUAGGCGGAAUGCGUGGUGUAGCGGUGAAAUGCUUAGAUAUCACGAAGAACUCCGAUUG
rnacentral:rRNA from 1 species